UUCCGGUUGAUCCUGCCGGACCCUAUUGCUAUCGGGGUGAGACUAAGCCAUGCUAGUUGAGCGCUCUCUAGCUAUGUUGAGGACGCAGCGUACGGCUCAGUAACACGUAGUUAACCUGCCCUCGGGAUGGAGAUAACCCCGGGAAACUGGGAUUAAUAUCCGAUAGAUGAUGAUGCCUGGAAUGGUUUAUCGUCGAAAGAUAAUGGAAACAUGCUUUCAUUAUUGCCCGAGGAUGGGACUGCGACCGAUCAGGUUGUUGGUGGGGUAACGGCCCACCAAGCCGAUAACCGGUACGGGCCCUGAGAGGGGGAGCCCGGAGAUGGGCACUGAAACAAGGGCCCAGGUCCUACGGGGCGCAGCAGUCGCGAAAACUCCGCAAUGCGCGAAAGCGUGACGGGGCUACCCCGAGUGCCGUCCGCUGAGGAUGGCUUUUCCCCGGUGUAAUGAGCCGGGGGAAUAAGGAGAGGGCAAGCCUGGUGUCAGCCGCCGCGGUAAUACCAGCUCUCCGAGUGGUAGGGACAAUUAUUGGGCUUAAAGCGUCCGUAGCCGGCCUGGUAAGUCUUCCGUUAAAUCCAGCGACCUAAUCGUUGGGCUGCGGGAGAUACUGUUAGACUAGGGGGCGGGAGAGGCCGACGGUAUUCCCGGGGUAGGGGUGAAAUCCUAUAAUCCUGGGAGGACCACCAGUGGCGAAGGCUGUCGGCUAGAACGCGCUCGACGGUGAGGGACGAAAGCUGGGGGAGCGAACCGGAUUAGAUACCCGGGUAGUCCCAGCUGUAAACGAUGCGGGCUAGGUGUUGGGGUGGUUACGAACCACUUCAGUGCCGCAGGGAAGCCAUUAAGCCCGCCGCCUGGGGAGUACGGCCGCAAGGCUGAAACUUAAAGGAAUUGGCGGGGGAGCACCACAAGGCGUGAAGCUUGCGGUUUAAUUGGAGUCAACGCCGGG
rnacentral:rRNA from 1 species